GGUUAAGCGACUAAGCGUACACGGUGGAUGCCCUGGCAGUCAGAGGCGAUGAAGGACGUGCUAAUCUGCGAAAAGCGCCGGCGAGGUGAUAUGAACCUUUGACCCGGCGAUGUCCGAAUGGGGAAACCCAGUGUGUUCCGACACACUAUCGUUAACUGAAUACAUAGGUUAACGAGGCGAACCGGGGGAACUGAAACAUCUAAGUACCCCGAGGAAAAGAAAUCAACCGAGAUUCCCCCAGUAGCGGCGAGCGAACGGGGAGCAGCCCAGAGUCUGAAUCAGCUUGUGUGUUAGUGGAAGCGUCUGGAAAGUCGCACGGUACAGGGUGACAGUCCCGUACACGAAAGCACACAGGUUGUGAACUCGAAGAGUAGGGCGGGACACGUGGUAUCCUGUCUGAAUAUGGGGGG
rnacentral:rRNA from 1 species